GUGCACCAGGCGCGAAACCUCCGCAAUGCACGCAAGUGCGACGGGGGAACCCCAAGUGCCACUCUUAACGGGGUGGCUUUUCAGAAGUGUAAAAAGCUUCUGGAAUAAGGGCUGGGCAAGACCGGUGCCAGCCGCCGCGGUAACACCGGCAGCUCAAGUGGUAGCCGCCUUUAUUGGGCCUAAAGCGUCCGUAGCCGGUCUGAUAAGUCUCUGGUGAAAUCCCACAGCUUAACUGUGGGAAUUGCUGGAGAUACUAUCAUGACUCGAGGUCGGGAGAGGCUGGAGGUACUCCCAGGGUAGGGGUGAAAUCCUGUAAUCCUGGGAGGACCACCUGUGGCGAAGGCGUCCAGCUGGAACGAACCUGACGGUGAGGGACGAAAGCCAGGGGCGCGAACCGGAUUAGAUACCCCAGUAGUCC
rnacentral:rRNA from 1 species